rnacentral:rRNA from 1 species
UACGAAGGGGGCUAGCGUUUCUCGGAAUCACUGGGCGUAAAGGGCGCGUAGGCGGCGGCGCUAGUCGGGCGUGAAAUCCCCGGGCUCAACCCGGGGGCUGCGCCCGAUACGGCGCUGCUCGAGGACGGGAGAGGCUCGCGGAAUUCCCAGUGUAGAGGUGAAAUUCGUAGAUAUUGGGAAGAACACCGGUGGCGAAGGCGGCGAGCUGGCCCGUUUCUGACGCUGAGGCGCGACAGCGUGGGGAGCAAACAGG